GAAGGAAGGAAGGAAGGAAGGAAGGAAGGAAGGAAGAAAGAAGCAGCAGCAGGUGCUCUCAUGUUGACUUUGAAGAAGCAAACUGCCAUUUGUAGAGAGGGCCAUAUGGCACGCGGCUAAAGGAACUCAGCCUCAGUCCUACAAGCACAACUGCCAAUACUUGUGAUCAUAGAAACAUGUGUUGAGAUGAAGGAGCAUGCCAAAAGAUCAAGGCAGCCUAGAAUGUUGAACCACCACAUGGAACACAGCUGUGCUAAAGACCCGCCUAGACCCACAGCAGACUUGGGCAGAUGUGGCUGAGGAUCAAGCCCAAGACCUGACUGUAUGGGUUGCAGAGUUGCGACACCAGGCUCCUCUGGCUGUUGGAUGAAGAAUGGACCAAAGUAAUGCAAGAAGGGAAGCAGGAAGACCAGAUCAGAGGCUCCUGCAAUAAUUGAGUGGGACAUGAUGUUACUGAGAGUUGGUGAGAAGUGGUUAGAUUCUGGAAAUAUUUUGAAGGUAAAGUCAUGGGCUUUGCUUCAGCAUAGGAUGUGAGAGAAAGAAGAGGCAAGAAUACUGCAAUAUUUUUGGCUUGAGCAAUGUGAUGGAUGGAUUGGACUUAUCAAGAUGUGAAUGACUGCAGAGGAGUGGGUUUGUGGGAAGAUCAGGGGCCUCUUUUGACUUGUUAAGAUGAAGCUGCAUUUGGACCUAUAAGUGGAGAUGUUAAGUAGGCAGCUGGUAAUAUGAGUCUGAAAUUCAGGGGAGAGAUUUUAGCUAAAUAUACAAUUUGGGAACAUAUGAAUGGUAUUUAAGGCCAUAACACACUGAGAUAUCCAGGGGAGUGAGUAGAGGUAGAAGAGAUUCAUAUUCCAAGUCCUGAUACUCCCCAACAUUGACAGAUCAGGGAUAUGAAGACAAAUCAGGGAAGGAGGGAGGCUUUCAGGGUGUUAUGAUGGUACCCAGUAUCAUGGGGUAAAAGGGAAAGGAAACAGGGCCCAUGGGUGGAAGGCUUAAAGCACCCACUCCCUAGGUUUUGGUUUAGAUGAUCCAAUGGGGUGGAAGUGGGGAAUUGGAUGCCAAGGAGCUGGGUUUAAAAUAGUUUCUGAUCAUACACACAGAACCCUAAGUGGGCUACAUUUCACUAGUUCACUAUCUUCCUAGCCAAGUCAUCUUUGUGGAGUUCCCGGUUCAGUGCGAGCCCUGGACAAAUCUCCUUACAGCCCAGGCCGGCUCAUUCCAGCCUAGACCCACACUCCUCCAAGGAGCCCAAAUAGUCUUCACACUUCCUGGUCUGACCAGAAUCCAUGCCCCAGGAGUCAGAUCUUAGAUGGUCCGGACGCCGCCAGGUACGCGGCCGCCGGCGGAGCUCCGGCCCGACGUACCCCGAGCCCGAGGCACCCGCGUCGAAGGCUUAACGUAACGUUUGCCUUGAUUGCCUUGAAGGCUAAAGGAACUUCACAUCACCUCUGGCACUUCCUUCACGGAAUAGCCUGCACCCGAUGGAUUCCUUACACCGCAUCGCUACGGUGCCAACUCCAAGAAAAAAGGCUUCUUUAUUCCGCGGGGGUUUAGCUGAGAGCCCAGUUGUGCCGGGCGCCAGAGGAUGAAGGGCUUUAACGUGGACACGAGCAGAAAAGGAGUUUGUCCUACUUGUCAGUGGACACAGGAAAACGCUAGGCCUCGGGCCUAUCGUGAGACACAUUUGAGGACAAAUAAUAAAAAUAACUUAAAAAAAUUGAUCCCAGAAAGAUGAAGGAAAUGAGGACAGAAAAUUAAACCCACAAGCCUGCGGUUGGCCCUUUGGCGGACCCGGGACCGCGGCGACGAUGCUGCCUCCUGGUGGCGGGACGGGGCAAUGAAGCGAUCAUAGCCGAGUUGAGUUUCUCUGGCUGCUCGUGUGUGUGUGUGUGUGUGUGUGUGUGUGUGUGUGUGUGUGUGUGUGAUCAAAAGUGGAGUUUGGUUAUCUUAAUAGUAGGUUGAUGGCGGCCCGGGUGGCUCAGCGGUUUAGCGCCGCCUUCAGCCCAGGGCCUGAUCCUUGAGACCGGGAUCGAGUCCCACAUCAGGUUCCCUGCAUGGAGCCUGCUUCUCCCUCUGCCUGUGUCUCUGCCUCUCUCUCUGUGUGUCUCUCAUGAAUAAAUAAAAUCUUAAAAAAAAAAUAGUAGGUUGAAAUUUAUUAUUACCACAAUCCAUAGCUUUAAAGCAAAAGUCUUUAAGGGCAAGGCAGCAGAGUUUGCCUGGGAUGUUUUGGUUUGCCACCAACUGAGAAAAGGAUGUUUUGAAGAAAACAAAGUCUUCUGCUUCUUGGUAUAGCUAACACAUUCUCUUUAGGGGAGCUGUAGACACCAGUAGAAGAAGUACAAAUAUAGGUGUUAGAAAAAGAGGCUUGACAACUUCAGCAUUUAUAAAAAUGACAAUUCAUUGGUUGACACUGAUGCUGAAGGACAGAAGCAUUGAUGAUUUUAACAAAACAACAUAGCAUCAUUUUGUCCCCAAGUACAAGGAAAAAUAGUACCUGGAACAUAUGAAUGGUAUAUGAGCUUCAUAGGUAGCAGGUAUAGGUCCAAUCCCUCUCUCUGAACUUCCUGUGCCAUAAUGCAAAGCAGAAGAUGCCAAGUGUAUCAGUGGUGCUGUGCUGUUAGCCCCAUAUUGUUCCAUUUUUGAUUUUUAAAAGGAACAAAUCAAAAGAAAGAACCUGUCAUUGGUGAUCAUGUCCCUCUAAAGGCUGUAUUGAUGAGUAAAGAAUGAAGUAGUGGCUACUUCAAAGUGUGGCCCAAGUGGGAAGUGCAUGUGUGUGUGUGUGUUAAGAAAUCUGAUUGCGCUGAGUGAAGUAAGUCAGUCGG